UCCAAUGUGGUGUAGUGGUCAACAUUGCUGUCUUUCAAAUGGUGUGAAUGCACAGCAGCCCGGGGUUCGAUUCCCCGCAUUGGAA
rnacentral:tRNA from 1 species